AUUUGAUUCCCUCUCACCACAACAUUACUCAAAGCAAGGCAAUCAGUAACAAGAUGCAACAUCACGUCAUGUUUCAUUUUAAAAACAUCAGAACAUUUUUGUGGAGAUAAUUACACAUACAAGAUGGCACCUCGAAGUGCUCAAGUACAUUCAGUCGGAUCUCUCUUCUCUUUUCACACUGGCAUCUGCAAAAGUGCAUGCUUUUCCAAAUGCAAUAAUCGACUGAAUGACCUUAUUAGCUUAACUUGUAUCAUAAGAUUGUAAUGAAGAACAGAGUUUCUGCAGUGAUGUUCUCUGUCUUUUUGUUGCUACUACCCUUGUGACCCAUUACUGUUUGAGCAAUGUGUACAUGUACUGUACUUAAUGUGUGCUCUGCGUCCGGCCAACUGAUCAGCAGUUAGAGAAGUACAGGCCGUCUUUUAUGUUGAAGUUGAUGUAAAUAUAGAGCAUGGUGGGAAACAGACAAACAGGACCAAAGUUAUAGUAAGAGCUAACCAUUAUACCUACCUCAGAACCGUAUUAGAAUUUACUCACUUUUUUCUCCCCAUUUAAUCUCUUACCGAAGUGGAUUAUAUAGUAAAUUAAUCUCAACUCUUACAUAUUUCCUCCAGUAGAGUUCUGUGUUAGUUAUUGUUGUUGGUGCUAGAAGGCUGUUUUCUCUAAUAGUCUGUUUAUCCUGUUCCUUUAACUGACCUUGUGCCUACUGUAUGCCAUAUUGUAAACCAAUUUCAGACUGGCCUGUUUUUAUUAUAUGCCAGCAAUAAACUUAUUUUAAUAGUU